CUUUCCCUCUUUCUUUAGGCCUAACACAUGCAAGUCGAACGGCAGCACAGUAAGAGCUUGCUCUUACGGGUGGCGAGUGGCGGACGGGUGAGGAAUACAUCGGAAUCUACUUUUUCGUGGGGAAUAACGUAGGGAAACUUACGCUAAUACCGCAUACGACCUACGGGUGAAAGCAGGGGAUCUUCGGACCUUGCGCGAUUGAAUGAGCCGAUGUCGGAUUAGCUAGUUGGCGGGGUAAAGGCCCACCAAGGCGACGAUCCGUAGCUGGUCUGAGAGGAUGAUCAGCCACACUGGAACUGAGACACGGUCCAGACUCCUACGGGAGGCAGCAGUGGGGAAUAUUGGACAAUGGGCGCAAGCCUGAUCCAGCCAUACCGCGUGGGUGAAGAAGGCCUUCGGGUUGUAAAGCCCUUUUGUUGGGAAAGAAAAGCAGCAGGUUAAUACCCCGCUGUUCUGACGGUACCCAAAGAAUAAGCACCGGCUAACUUCGUG
rnacentral:rRNA from 1 species